CACACCCAUUAGCAUUGUUAACUGAAUUGCAUUAAUGCUGUAAGACUGAUGCCGACAGUUGAGACCCAUUUCCACUGAGCGGUUCAAUUUGGACCAGUGUGGUCUGGUACGCUAUUUUGUGUGUUUCCAUUAUAAAAUGGGCCCAUACCACCCAACCAUACUGCACCAUUUAUGGACCCCUUUCAGUUGUAGGUCCGUAGGAAAAGAUCUACGGUAUGGUUAGGGCGGAGCUACUGGCAUCUGAGGAUAAAAUCCAUUGAUUGGCGGACAGAAAAACGUGACUGCCCACAACAAAAAGCAAGUGCGAAACAAACACAACUGCCGUUCAUUUCAUGUUUCGGACGUUGGAAAGAUAAAGGGAAAAAGAUGCUCGCAAACACCAUCGAAGUCUGCUUGGCUCUGGAACUACAAACUUUGCUAGCUAUAGCUGGCGAUAGCGUGAUUAUGAAUGAGCUGGAUGAAGCAGUGAAAAAUUGAAAAAUGCACAAAGAAACAUCUCAGUAGAUGGCAGCCGCAGGAUUCAAACAGGCCCCGGGUAAAGCUUAAGAAGCUAAAAGGACAGUACAGAAAAAUUCAGGAUGACAACGGCCGUAGAGGAAACAGUCGAAGUACUUGGAGGUGGAUGACAUUUCUGGCCACAGACCAGCAAACAAAGGCAGAGAUGGAGGGCUGGACUCAGCGACUGCACUUCUGGAAUCCAUAAUAGAUCCUGUUGAUUCAGUUGAGGGACUUAACACUGAAGUCUCAUCCUUUCUGGAUGAGGGUCUUUCCACUUCGCCGAGUUGUCCCAGUACCCCCGUGACUGUCCCAGUACACAGUCCCAGUCCCAGUACCCCUGUGACUGUCCCAGUACACAGUCCCAGUCCCAGUACCCCUGUGACUGUCCCAGUACCCAGUCCCAGUACACAGUCCCAGUCCCAGUACCCCUGUGACUGCGUCCCAACCAGAGAUUACACCCACUGCACCCCGGCUUCAACACACCGGUGACAGGAGACGGAAGUAGCCCAGCAGCAGAUUAGCUACCUCCAACAAGGCCUUCCUUGGUGUCCUUGAGCAGCUUGUUCUAGUGCUGGGAGGCGGUCGGGACCCCGAGCCGUCGCCCAGGCAGCAGGACCUUUCAGCAGCACAGGACUGUAUUUGGUUUAGCUCCCGUUUCUGUUUCUGUUUGUUUUGUUUUAUUUUAAUAAAAAGUGUUCAACUUGUA